UGCCGAGAUUCAGGGAAGCUACAGUGCAGACCUUGCUAGGUCCGAUGGUUCUGUCAUCAGCGUCGUUCGUCACUGACGUAGGCCGUGAUGAGGCUCCAUAGCAUGUCAUUGAGUUAGACAGUGGCACUGGCAACUCGGACGCGCUUCAAGACGGCGAGAGGAGCGGAAGAAAGAGUUGAGUACGGAUCUUUCGGUUGGCAUUCUAUUCGACCCACGAGAGUUGACACACUCUAACGACUUCUCACUAGCAUGAGAAAAUCGCAGUCUGGCAUGAGACACCGUCGUCUACUUUCUCGGGUUUUGAGGCCUGAUAGUUAGGGUGGUUGAAGUCCUCCCAGGAAACAAAUGCGAUGUUCUAAUCCCUUCUCUGCUUCAGUCCAUCGCCGGUCACUACCGCUUACGGCUCUACGCAUGCACUUGCCAUCUGAAGAGGACCGCAUUCUGAAUUUCCUGGGCAAUGAGCACCGGCUCAAUUAUGAGAAACAAGCUUACGGCGGGGUUUGUUCAGUUCGGAAUUUUGGUCGACCCCAAACGGUGUGUGGAUUGAAUGGCUUCUGGGGAUCAACACACAGGGUUUCGAGAAUGACACAGUGUGCAGUUUGAAAUCUGCUAAAGCAAGGAAAAUCGUAUUUUGCCCUCUAACAUAACAAUCACUCUUGACCUUAAAAAACAGUGAUAUUCUGAGGUUGAAUUCAGUAUCUUAUGUAGUUUCGAUCCCAGCAUCAGCCAUAUUACGAGGUGGGGAGCUUUUUUCUCGAACCCUACGAUGCGAGCUGGUUGUGGCAACAUCGCAAGUCAAGAGAAUCUAGAGUGUGGGUCAUUGCCUGCUGCAUAUUGACGCUCUACUAAAACCUUCACAAUUCGGUGCUGAAACCUCAACACAACAGCUACCUGCACUGGUAAUGUUUCAUGCAGUUUACCGUCAACGCUGCCAUGCAACAGAUUGUGAUGAGGUUGGGGUUAGAGUGUUUAGGGUUUAAAGGAUUUUUUUGCUUGUUAGAAUAGAGUACACAGUUAGUGAUCCCAUCGUCCUUAUUACCCAACAAGAGGUUGUAGAAUCCUACAAUUGCAUCAAGCAGUCCAGUGAAGUAUGAGGUCCUGGUUAUUAGAUGCCAUUCUACUUAUCUUUUGCAAACCCUAAAACAGUUCCUUUGGAUAUCCCAUCUCCUCCUCUCGUUAGGGCAAAAUUACAUGUUUGAAUGGGCAAGCUUCAAUGCAUGCAACCCACUUCUUCUUUUUUUC